rnacentral:rRNA from 1 species
GAUGAACGCUGGCGGCGUGCCUAAUACAUGCAAGUCGAGCGAACGGACGAGAAGCUUGCUUCUCUGAUGUUAGCGGCGGACGGGUGAGUAACACGUGGAUAACCUACCUAUAAGACUGGGAUAACUUCGGGAAACCGUAGCUAAUACCGGAUAAUAUUUUGAACCGCAUGGUUCAAAAGUGAAAGACGGUCUUGCUGCCACUUAUAGAUGGAUCCGCGCUGCAUUAGCUAGUUGGUAAGGUAACGGCUUACCAAGGCAACGAUGCAUAGCCGACCUGAGAGGGUGAUCGGCCACACUGGAACUGAGACACGGUCCAGACUCCUACGGGAGGCAGCAGUAGGGAAUCUUACGCAAUGGGCGAAAGCCUGACGGAGCAACGCCGCGUGAGUGAUGAAGGUCUUCGGAUCGUAAAACUCUGUUAUUAGGGAAGAACAUAUGUGUAAGUAACUGUGCACAUCUUGACGGUACCUAAUCAGAAAGCCACGGCUAACUACGUG